rnacentral:tRNA from 1 species
GGGGAACUAGCUCAUUCGGUAGAGCGUUCGCUUAGCAGGCGAAAGGUACCAGGUUCGAUCCCUGGGUUCUCCA